CGCUAGGUUGAAAUCUGCUAUCACUGAUCAUGAGUAAGCUGUUUCGCUCAGGGUGCGACAAGGCGAGCAUGAACGGGCUAUCUCAAUCUCGCUCAGUGCGCCAAGCGCGUGAGAAGACAGAGAAAACCGAGUGGUGGGGGGGGCGUAUCAGGACAGACAUAUGCUUUCGCCCGCUGGCCGCUCUCAGGUUUCUCUCUGUCUACAUCAUACUACUGGGAAAUGGCGUAUGGACAUAGCUGUAUGCAGUCCGGAGCUAUAUAACGAACUAAACUAAUUAAACUAAACUACCAGUCUAGUUAUACUAUAGAAGUCUAUGGAAAAGACUUAACUUUGUUCCAUUCCUCUAUCUAUGCACCUUGGAGCCGAAUAUGCUGGCAGUUGGAGCUGUAUAGUGGGUGGUCGGUUAUUAGGAGCCGUACAAUGCAAAUUCGUAACGAGUGGGUGUUAAGCUCGUUACAUAGAGAUAUAUUAAAUACCAAAAAAAUGUACGUCAUAUUUUUACAUUAAUUACCUAUUUUCACUAUCUAGUUUUAUGUAAUUUUUUCCUCGGAUCAAAUUUUAUUAUGGUUAUAGAUAUUGAAAUAAACUUUUAGAGUUAUGUAUUAAAAACUUAUAUAACCUGAACUUAUAUAACUGAAUAACAGCACAUGAAUA
rnacentral:misc_RNA from 1 species